GUCCCCUCCCCGCCGCGCCUCACGCAUCGCACCUACCCAGGGAUGUGUAAGCCACAGGAUGCCCAGCAGCACUGGAAAGAGGUUUAAACCUACCAAAUACAUCCCCGUCUCCACCGCAGCUGCCUUGUUAGUGGGCUCGACUACUUUAUUUUUUGUUUUCACGUGCCCGUGGUUAACAAGAGCCAUCUCCCCAGCCAUUCCCGUGUACAAUGGGCUCGUGUUCUUGUUUGUACUUGCAAACUUCAGCAUGGCAACUUUCAUGGACCCUGGAGUUUUUCCACGAGCAGAUGAAGAUGAGGAUAAAGACGACGAUUUCCGAGCUCCGCUCUACAAGAACGUGGAGAUUAAAGGAAUCCAAGUACGGAUGAAAUGGUGUGCCACUUGCCACUUCUACCGCCCACCACGCUGCUCCCAUUGCAGCGUCUGCGACAACUGUGUUGAGGAUUUUGAUCAUCACUGCCCAUGGGUGAACAAUUGCAUAGGACGGAGGAACUACCGAUAUUUUUUUCUCUUCUUGCUGUCCUUAAGCACGCACAUGGUUGGAGUGUUCACUUUUGGGUUGAUCUUUGUUUUAAACCAUGUGGAAAAGCUGGGGGCAGCUCACACCACCAUUACUAUGGCUGUCAUGUGUGUUGCUGGACUGUUCUUUAUUCCAGUCAUUGGUCUCACAGGUUUCCAUAUCGUCCUAGUGGCCCGAGGGCGCACAACCAAUGAACAGGUGACGGGUAAGUUCCGUGGGGGUGUGAACCCUUUCACUCGAGGAUGCUGUGGAAAUGUGGAACAUGUGCUCUGCAGUCCUCUGGCUCCCAGGUAUGUUGCUGAGCCAAAGAAAAAGCAGGCUGUGAGUGUGAAGCCUCCUUUCCUCAGACCAGAUCUAUGUGAGCGACAGAUCACAGUGAAGAUAAGUGAUAAUGGGAUCCAAGCCAACCUUAACCGCAGCAAGUCUAAAAUUAGCCUGGAGGGUCUGGAGGAUAAAACCAUGGAUGUGCAGCCACCUCUGCCACCCAAAGGAGAUCCAAGCAAGUACUCAGAAUUAAAAGGGCAACUGGGGACCAGUGAAGAGGGUGGUCUUUCACCCAAAAUGAUCAGCCCCCCCACUCCUGCUAUGUAUAAGUAUCGACCAGCAUUCAGCAACAAUCCCAAAGUCCACUACCACGCUGCGGCUGAGCAGAUCACCAUGCAGGAGGGGCAUAGUCAAGGUGUUAUGAUAGAAGAGGAUGGCAGGAGCCUUGAUUACCAAUCAGAGCCCAACCUGGACAUCCCUAACUACAGGAAGAGCUCCCUGCACAAGACUUAUCAGUCCUCACCAAUUCAGAUAGACUCCUUUGCCAUCAAUUCACGAUCCCUGAGCCUGAAGUCUGCCAGCAGAAGAGGAACAGAUAAAGUGCCCCUUCACCCAAUAAAGUCAGAAGGGGCUGCUUCUACUCCGUACAAAAGCAUAUUUUCCCCCAAUUCCCUGUCCAACAGAAAUGGAAGCCUUUCUUAUGACAGCUUGCUAAAUCCUAUGUCGCCCUCGGGAAGGAAAUGCGUCACCCAUUCUGCAGUUGGCUCCGUUGGGUACCAUUCACCAUAUCUGUCAGCCAAAAUGUGCCAUCUCCGGGGGAGUGAGCUACAGCGCCAGCCACCACAGAGCUUCAGCCCGGUGCUUGGGAGCCCAGCUUCACAUCAGCGGGACUCCUCUCCAGUACGCUAUGACAACCUCUCAAAAACCAUCAUGGCCUCCAUCCAGGAGAGGAAAGAAAUGGAAGAAAGGGAGAAGCUCCUCCACUCGCACCCAGAUUCAGUGUUUGCAGACUCAGGUGUCUAUGACACCCCUAGCUCUUAUAGCCUUCAGCAAGUCAGCAUGCUGUCUGAAGACCCUCGCAGCACGGCAAUGAGAUAUGGAUCUAGAGACAAUCUGAUAUCUGCUACCAGUUUUAGCACAAGGAACCCUUUACUGCAGUCCUCGGUGUCUUCACUUUCGAGUGCAUUGACAAGGGCACCAAGGACUUCCACAACUUCCCUUCAAGCUGAUUUAGCUAAUAACAAUGUCCAGUCUCAUCAGGCCCUACAGGGCAGGGUGAGCAAUGGCUCCUACAAGUCACCAGGCCACCAGGUCCCAUCAUCUCCUACGGGGAUGCCUAGAUCGCCCUCUUAUGGAGGUCCGAAGGCCGUCUCAUUUGUUAACACUGUGGAAAUUACAGAGGUGCAGUCAGUAGGAGCACAAAGGGAGGACAUACAGAUGAAGACGCCUCACAGUAAAAUAAAUGGACAGCCAAAAGGAAUUUCCAGGGCAGAUUGUCGACUGGGUUCAACAUCUAGUUCCCAAGGGACCCCGGUCAGUCCUGCUAGACACUCAAAUGUUAAGAAGGUAUCUGGAGUUGGUGGAACAACCUAUGAAAUUUCAGUGUAAAAUAAAAUAAAAGAGCCAUCCACUAAGCCAGCCAUGAAGCUAGGUGCACUGUGAAGACUCAAACAACAACAGCAAAGGAGCAGCAGCUGCCAGUGUCCUUUUCAUUUUUGUCCUCAUCUUUCUUUUUUUGGCCAAAAACCAGCUGCGGGGAGGGAAUAGAGCUGUACAAUCCAUCAGACACUCUCAAAUUGAUGGGCGGGAACUGGCUACCACCUAGCACCACAACCAGAUUAUUUCUUUCAUGAAAGAGAGCGAAAAAGCCAUUGUGCACUUGUCUGUCACACAAACCGGUUGUGUAGGAGUUGUGCUGUGAUAUAGUACACUUAAUAUGGGGUCACUAUAUUUUCCCCACCCAUACCCCCAACUUUUCUGGCCAGCAGAGUCUCUAAAGGCCUGACUGCUUCUUCCUAUGGACACGGAAGCCAGGCUUCCCAAGUUUCACAGUCUGCGUGUGUGAGAACUGCCAUUUGUCCUCCAAGCAUUAAUGUCGGCGUUAUUACUCCUCCUUCAGUGGAACAGGGCAGGAGUGCAGCAGCCCUCAAACCUCAUGUAGUGUUUUCAAGUCUCUCUGCUCUGACUCGGGUUCAGGAGGAGAGAAAGGAUAACAACAGCUUCUCACUGUCAGUCAUUUGCCUUCCUGUGUGUGAAAUCCUGUGUGUGCGUGUUUGUGUCUCGUGGAACAGGACUGCCACAUAAUCUGUCCUUGGUCAACCAGCCUCGUGUGGAGAAGAUGGAAAGCAUCGUGGGAUUAAUCGUGCUUCUGCAUCAUUUGAAGAGGGGAAUCGGAAAAGCAGUAUUGUGAUAGUGGACAGACAACCAGAUACAGGUUUGCAGUCAAUGCGACAGAAAAGGCCUGGUGACUUUUUAAUGGCGUACAACAGGGACAUCACAGAGCAGAGAAGCAAUUACUCUUCUAAACAUCUUUGGUACAGUCGUGUCUAGAAUAUCACCUUUAGUUACAGGCACUUUAUUUCCAGAAAGAUACUGGCAAAUUGGAUCAUGCUCAAAUGGGAACAGCAACUAUAAACAGAGAACUGGAGAGGCAGGUUCACAAGAAGAUUAAAAGGGCUAGACUGUGUCAUUAAUUAAGCAAUGAUUAUGGGAAGUGGGUUUGAUAUGUUUACAUAUUUUUAACUUAAUGGAUGUAAAACCAAAGGUGAAACAUGGGGUUAUCACUGGUAGUAAAUGGGUUAAGUUAAAAGGGAAAAAAAAUGACUAACAGGGGAAAGGGCUGUGGAAUAGUCUUCCAAGGCAGGGUAUUGGAAGCGUGACCACUGAGAACUUUUAAAACUGAACUAGUCAAACCAGUUGGAAGUUUCUGAUAAGUUGCAAUCUUGCACUGGCACGGGGCUGGACUAGAUAACCUGGGAGCUUUCUUCCACCUUCAGCUCCUACUAAUCUUUGAUUCCAAUCUGAAUGUAACUCCAUUCCACAUGUGGUGAAAAUCAGUCCUGCGCACAGGAUUAGUACAAGGCUUACAUAUCUCUACAGGCAUAUUUACUCACACUCAAGCCCUCAGUGUAGGAGCUAAAUGGCACAUACAUUGUGUUGCUAAUCUGUAUUGGGACAAAUUACACUCUGUAGGGUUAUAAAGCAAGCUAUGCAAGCAGACCUUUAAUAUUGUACCCAUUAGCAUUGAAAAUCUGCGUUCCUGUGACAUUUUUAGGAUUCCAGUGAAAAACAGAAAAGUCCAUGGAAGAGCUGAAGGGCAAAAGGGCCUUUGAAAUUGCUAUAUAAGCUCACGGGCAAGGAUUGUCCAAUAACACUAAACAUAGCACUCUCUGUAUAAACCUUUUAAAGCCCUUGCAGCCAGUGUUCUUUUGGUGUAUAUCUCAGGCAGGAAGAUGAAGAAAAAAUAAAUACAUUG